GACGCUGGUUUGCUGAGCCUCGGCGGCCAUCUUCUACAGCAGAAAUUUCUGUGUAACGACUAUAAGGAAGAGAAAGGGAAACGGUUUGACGUUAUUUUGAGAAGACAUAACGAAAAACCAAAUGUUCGGAAGGACUGUUUCGUAAUAAGUGGUUGGUUUAGUUUGAUAGGUGUCGAAUUUAAGUUCAAAUAGACGGAAAGAUGUCGGACGACGCGGCGAGGGAAGAUGCUUGCAGAGAGUAUCUGUCGUCCCUGGAAGAUUUGACUUUCAACAGCAAACCUCACAUCAACAUGCUGACCAUUCUUGCCGAGGAGAACCUGCACUUCGCCAAGGAUAUCGUCGCAAUAAUUGAAGCACAAAUCGCCAAGGCACCUCCAGCAGAGAAGCUUCCAGUUUUGUACUUAGUGGAUUCCAUAGUGAAGAAUGUUGGGGGCGAAUAUCUUGACGUUUUCGCUAAAAACCUAGUCUCUUCGUUUAUUUGUGUUUUUGAAAAGGUUGAUGAGAACACUAGAAAAAGUCUAUUCAAAUUGCGAUCCACCUGGGAUGAGAUUUUUCAGUUGAAGAAACUUUAUGCGUUAGAUGUCAAAGUGAAUUCUGUAGAUCCUGCAUGGCCAAUCAAACCACUGCCGCCAAAUGUGAAUGCCAGCAUCCAUGUGAACCCCAAAUUUUUAAAACAAACUGAGGAAGUAACAGCUCCAAGAGCCAAAACCCCACAACCUCUGAGCCACCCAGUGGUGAGUGAGAAGAAUUUGACCCAGGAGCAAGUAAUAAGGCAGCAGUUGCUUGCAAAGCAAAAGCAAUUGCUUGAGCUACAGCAGAAGAAGAUAGAGCUAGAACUUGAACAAACAAAAGCUCAACUGGCUGCUAAUCAGUUGGUUUCUACAACCAAUCCAUCCGUUAUUCCUGCAAACCAACCUAGUAUUGGGGUGAAAGUCAGUCCACUGACCACUACACAACCAAUUAAACCCUAUCUACCACCACCCUCUGACACCAAGGUUCCCACAAGAGACCCCCGCUUGAUCAGAGGAAGUCAGGCCACUGGCUUUGUGAAGGAGCAAGUGCCAAAUAAAAAGGACAGUCGUGGAUUUGGAACUGCCGCACACCCGUCAGAUAAGAAAGCAAAUGUAUCAACUGACAAGCAAAAUAAACUAGAAAAGACAAAAAUCCCUAAAAAGGAAUUUUUAUCUGAGGAAAAGCCUAAAUCAAAAUCUCCUUCCCCUUCGACAAAAGGGGUUCAAGGAAAAAAUAAAACCCCUGAACUUGAAAAUGUUAAAGCGACAGAGGUCAACAAGAGGGACCCGAGGUUACGAAAACAUCUCCAUGAUAAGACUGAUGUGAAAGAGGAAGAUGUUAAAGAAAAGAAAAGGGGUUCUGACAAAAAAGAGAGGGAUGACUCCACCAAAGCCUUGGAGCACAGAUCAUUAGGCACCAGAAGUAAACUUGCAAAUGGUUCGGUUAACAAGCAUGAACCUCUGGAGAAACUGGACUCCAAACCAACUAAAGGCAAUGCAAGGAAAAGAUCUCGCUCAAGGUCUCGUUCACCUGUGCUGCACUCUCCGAAAAGGAAAGACAGACGGUCUCCAAAGAGGAGAACCAGAAGCAUUUCUUCAUCUCCUCCAAAGUUUGGGAAGGGAAGGCAAGCCGUAGGCAAACACGCACACACAGAAGACUUUCCACAGCAUGGUAAUGCAAGGGAAGAAAGAAGCACUCUCAAAAAGAGCACAAGCGAACCAAGGAGGACCAAACGGUCACUGGAGGAAAGGCCUGUUGAAGCAAGAGAAUCUCAUUCACCGAGAUUACCUUUAGAAACUAAAGAAAAUGCCAAGAGGUGGCGAAGUGGAUGGGAGGAAAACAAACGCCUGAAACAGCCUGAAGAGAGCCUUCCACAUGGAAAAUCAGGACAAAGACACAAAGCAUCUUGGUCAAGCAGUCCGAGAGUUACCACACCUCGCACACCAAAACAGCAUCGCCUCAGCGUCGAUGCCAACCUGCAAAUACCAGAAGUGCUUAACUCUGCAAGUAAACAUGACCUUCUGAAAAAGGCUAGCAAAAGACUUGCUGAUGGUGAAAUAUCCCACGAUGACUUCCUUGGUGUGGCCCAUCAAAUCAAGCAGCUUUUUCAGUACCAAGAGGAAAAGCAAAGAUCUGACUCUUGGGAAGGAAGUGAAGACGGACAGCCUGUGAGCAAAAAGAAGCCCUUGCUGGCCACACCCCCAUCGCAGCAGGGGAAUCUGUCCGAUGCUGAAAUUACUUACUAUGAGCAUAAAGCUAAGUUGAGAAGAACCCAGGUCCAGCGUCAAGGUAAUGAUGUUUGGGAUGCAGACGACAGCUUCUCGAGUGAGGAGGCGGUUGUGAGAGAAAUUGAGUUCCCCAAAGGACACCCCGGAACAAGGACUGGGGAUAGCCACUUUAGAAAACAUGAUGAGGGUACUGAAGGACCUGUGUGUACCUCCCCUAUAAAGAGUAACAGGCCAGAAGGACCUAAGCGUUCCCAAGAAAAUAAAGUCAUGUUUGAAGAGCAUGCUACUUUAGAUGUUAAUAAAGAUUUGCCUAGUAAUAAAAGGGGAGUUCUCAGGCUGAAAGGACAGCCUGGACAGGAUUACAGGAAGAGAGGUGAUCCUCGUGAAUAUAGUGAUGAAAGACUAAAGGUUAAGAUGGAAGGCAAGUGCAAAGUUCAAGGUGGAAGAGAUAAUCACUCGCCAUACAGUGAGAGACUGCAACUUCAGAGGCCACCACAUGAGGAAACUGAUCAAGGAAAAAGUAGCUUGGAAUCACAGAAGAGAUAUGGAGGAGUAAAUGAAGCCAUAAAGCUUGAAGAUUCUGCAAACCAGCCAUGUUCAAGGCACGAUGAGCUUAGAAAAAAUGAUAGACCUUCAAAUUCUGGUUUGUUGUACAAAAACUCCCCAAGUCCUGUCAAUUUUGAGAGCCUUGCUGGAAAAUCACCUGUAAGAGGCUUUGACAGUUCAUCCUGCUUAGAUGUAGAUAGCCACCCAAUGACUGUACGGGAACCCAGCCCUAGUCAGAGAUUUGACAUUCCCUCCAGCUGUGAGCAUCCCAUUACGGGAUCUGAGGGUGAUGUUCCACUAAGUGUGGAGGUCCCUCCUAGACAUGAUAUUCCAUCAGGACCAGGCAGAAGUGGACAGCCAAGCCAGAUGCUGUGUGAAGCUUCCGGACAGACACCGCCUCAUUCUUCAGAAGGUCCCCUUUCACAGUCUGGCUUAUCAAGAUAUGAUGGUGGAAAACACCCACAGAGGUUUGAUGGGCCUCAAGGUCCAAAGCCUAUGAUUUUUGAUGGCCCGAGUCAUAUGGGCCAGCCGAGGAUGGACGGACCGUCAAGAUCUCAUGUACCAGGCAGGUUUGAUGUGAAUCCCGGACCAGGACGAUUUGAUGGGCCGUCUGGGCCUCAUAACACUUCAAGGUUUGAUGGACAACAUACGCCGGGCCAAAGUAGAUUUGAUGGGCCUCAAGGGCCUGGAAGAUUCAAUGGCCCACAUUUACACAAGGGUCCAGAGAGGUUUGAUGGUCCUAGUAGAUAUGACAGUCCAUCUAUGCAACCUGGUCCUGCAAGAUUCAGUGAACCACAGGGUCUUGGAAGAUUUGAUGGAUCACACAUUCAACAAGGUACAAGCAGAUUUGAUGGACCAGCCGGACAGCAGCCUCCAGGCAGGUUUGACAGCCAAGGUCCAAUCCGAUUUGAUGGGUCGCAGAUGCAGCCUAAUAGAUUUGAAGGGCCAAUGAGAUAUGAUAAUCCCCAAAUGCCACAAGGUCUUGCAAGAUUUGAAACGCCAGUGCGGUUUGGUGGCCCACAGGUUCAAGGACAAGGGCCUGUUCGAUACGAUGGGCCUCAACCUGGACCAGUGAGGUUUGAUGCGUCUAUUAAUCAGCCUGGUACUAUGCGAUUUGAAAACUCUCAAGGACAACUGGGACCUAUGAGAUUUGAUGGGCAAGGUAUGUCACGAUUUGACUGUCCACCCGGUCAGCAACCACCUCCCAGGUUCUGUGGCCCACAAAGUUUGCAAAACCAAAUGCGACCACAAGGCCCGCCUAUGUUUGAGACACCACAGGGUCCGGGACCUCUGACUAAUCCUGUCAGCCAGCAGCCAGCAAAUUUCAACAUGCCCAGGUUUUCUGAACCAUUAAACAUGUUCAGCAGUGCACCACAGCCUUUUCAAGGACAACAAAAUAUGUCUCAAGGAGCAAAUUUCAGUGUCUCAGCUGUUCCUGGACCUUCUGCUUUCUCUAAUACAUAUGUCAGGCCUGUUGGAUCUUUUUACAACCCUGGUGCUCCGGUUGUCUCUGUUGGAAGUUUGAAUCCUUCACUUCCGGUGGGAAAUGUUCCUCAGUCUAUUAAUAUGCUGUCUGGUCUUGGAAAAACGCAAUUGUCAGCUCCUUACAGCCAAGGACAGCCCUUCAUACCAACACAGAACACUGUGCCUUUCAACCAAGCAGGUCCACAAGAAAGUCAUUUUGGACAGGUUGAUGUUAACGACCUGUUAUCAAAGCUGAUCUCUACAGGAAUAAUAAAACCACCCCAGACAGACACAGCUCCAAACGAGUCAACUGCACCCACUCCAGUGCAGCCACCAGCUGAAGAGGAGGAGGAAGAGGAGCAAGAAGAUGAUCAUGAUAUCCCUGAUCUCACUGGCUUUGUUAUUGAAGACAUGAAACAGAGAUAUGAGAGUGUUAUCACUAAACUGUACACUGGAAUACAGUGUUACUCUUGUGGAAUGCGUUUCACUGCUUCACAAACGGAUGUAUACGCUGAUCACUUGGAUUGGCAUUAUAGACAAAACAGAUCAGAGAAGGACAUCAGCAAAAAGGUCACGCACAGAAGGUGGUACUACAGCCUUACGGACUGGAUUGAAUUUGAGGAAAUUGCUGACCUUGAGGAGAGGGCAAAGAGUCAGUUUUUUGAGAAAGUCCACGAGGAGGUGGUGCAGAAAACUCAGGAAGCUGCGAAAGAGAAAGAAUUCCAAAGUGUCAAAGCAGCUCCAGCUGUUGUCGCUGAGUCCUGUGAAAUCUGUCAGGAGCAGUUUGAGAUGUACUGGGAAGAGGAGGAGGAAGAGUGGCACCUGAAAAAUGCAAUCCGUGUUGAAGGGAAGGUAUGGAAGACCUGCGCCUUUGGGAUUUUAAUUUUCCAGUUUUAGAGGGAAAAGUCGUGUUUUCCAUUUGUUCUGACACUGUGACAGUGAUGUGUGAUGACACUUAAUGAUGAUCCAUGUUCCAUUUGGCCUUGUUCUAUACAGAGUUUUAGAAAGUUGUCAGCAAGUAUCCACAUUCUAGACAUAUACAACAUUUUAAAUAUGUUGUAUAUGUGUUUGGGUCCAUCCAAACUCAUAUACUGUACGUAUUGUAUUCACAUUAGCAUUCACAUUAACCCCCCGCCCAAUUUAAACUUGAUAGUUUCCAGUCAUUAGCAUGUUCACUAGGGAGUGAAUCCUGUUAAGGCAUACUGUGCAGGAUUCUUACCUUGAAAAUAUUAUAAAUUAACCAUGCCAAGGCAUAUCUAUGAUGCACUGGCAAUCUCUGUCUUUACGUGAUUUCGCCAAAUGUGUGCACCUUCACCUGUAUUUCUUAUUCUAAAAUGUGUUUGGGAUGUUUCUGGGUGUGGGACUGUUUUAUGUGUGGGGAAUGGUGGGUGUGGCUGCAGAGCUAGCUAGCGAAGCAGUCCAGAUACAGCGAAGCCAAAAGACAAGCAGACUGGGCUCAUUCAAGAACUAGAAUUGACCUUGGAAUUGUUUUUCCUUGGUGGUGCCAGCUGAAGUUCACCAAGGGGAUUAAAAGCAAUAUGGAGUUGGUUUGUUUUCUGUUGGACCUGUAAGUAAUGUUAUCGGCAGUGUGAAGCUGGCGUGGACUUUCGCAAGGGUCUGAAUUUAAAAUUGUGUUCAACAUAAUGGAAUUAAUUAAGCUGUAAUCAAAUCUGUCUUGUUACUGACGCUCACGGUCGCUCAUUUUAGGGUAUUAAUGUUACUUAUAGCGUAAGUAGGGUUGAAGACAAAGGAGGAGACUUUGAUUGUAAACACAGGCUCAGAAAUCCUGAAUAGUAUGCCUUUAAGCUUUUGUUUCAUAAUACGUAUUUAUUUGGAGUCAAAAGUGACAUUAAGUUUAUUUCUAUGGUAUUUGGGCAUAGAAUGGUCAUAAUUAUGCACUAUGUGCUUUAUAUUUUGUAUAAAUCUCAGCCUGGCCUAAUUUAAAGCUAGCUUACUAGUGGCAGGUUAUCUAGUCAGGUUUCUUAGUGCGUUUAGUCACCAUAGUUCCUAUACAUCAGGUGAAAGAUAGCCAACUGUUAGCUAAGGCUAAGUGGUUUUAAAAAAAAAAUCAGUUAAAAGAUAAUAAAACAAUUUUUUCUAAUGCCACAGUUGCGAAUAUGACAAGCUCCUGUCCUGUUCAUAUACUGUCGACUGCAUGGUACAUAAAUGUCUACUCUGUGACUUUAUUUUUAUGAGUAAAACAUGUGAAUAACAGGAAACUAGAAUAAAAAAGAAAAAGUUUGCUGUGGCUACUGCAUCAUGGUCACUGUGUAUUAAUCUUCUUCCCCCCCCUCUUAUUUCUAGACAUAUCACCCGUCGUGUUACGAGGACUACAAAAAUACGUCUUCAUUCGUGGACUGCACUCCGUCCCCCAGCAAAGCUCCUGUGGAAAACCCUUUAAAUUUGUUUAUCAAACAAGAGAAUGAUGACCAGUCCACCUGUUCCAGUAUUAAACAAGAGACAGACACGCAGAGCGGCUCUGCCGAAGAAAACAUAGAAGAUAAA